rnacentral:rRNA from 1 species
CCUACGGGAGGCAGCAGUGGGGAAUAUUGGGCAAUGGGCGCAAGCCUGACCCAGCAACGCCGCGUGAAGGAAGAAGGCUUUCGGGUUGUAAACUUCUUUUGUCAGGGACGAAGCAAGUGACGGUAACUGACGUAUAAGCCACGGCUAACUACGUGCCAGCAGCCGCGGUAAUACGUAGGAGGCAAGCGUUAUCCGGAGUUACUGGGUGUAAAGGUCGGGUAGGCGGGGAGGCAAGUCAGAUGUGAAAACCACGGGCUCAACCUGUGGCCUGCAUUUGAAACUGUUUGUCUUGAGUGCUGGAGAGGCGAUCAGAAUUCCGUGGGUAGCGGUGAAAUGCGUAGAUAUACGGAGGAACACCAGUGGCGAAGGCGGAUCGCUGGAC